UACCAGCUGGCUGCAACUGUUUAUUAAAAACACAGCACUGUGCAAACACGAAAGUGGACGUAUACGGUGUGACGCCUGCCCGGUGCCGGAAGGUUAAUUGAUGGGGUCAGCGCAAGCGAAGCUCCUGAUCGAAGCCCCGGUAAACGGCGGCCGUAACUAUAACGGUCCUAAGGUAGCGAAAUUCCUUGUCGGGUAAGUUCCGACCUGCACGAAUGGCGUAAUGAUGGCCAGGCUGUCUCCACCCGAGACUCAGUGAAAUUGAACUCGCUGUGAAGAUGCAGUGUACCCGCGGCAAGACGGAAAGACCCCGUGAACCUUUACUAUAGCUUGACACUGAACAUUGAGCCUUGAUGUGUAGGAUAGGUGGGAGGCUUUGAAGCGUGGACGCCAGUCUGCGUGGAGCCGACCUUGAAAUACCACCCUUUAAUGUUUGAUGUUCUAACGUGGACCCGUAAUCCGGGUUGCGGACAGUGUCUGGUGGGUAGUUUGACUGGGGCGGUCUCCUCCUAAAGAGUAACGGAGGAGCACGAAGGUUGGCUAAUCCUGGUCGGACAUCAGGAGGUUAGUGCAAUGGCAUAAGCCAGCUUGACUGCGAGCGUGACGGCGCGAGCAGGUGCGAAAGCAGGUCAUAGUGAUCCGGUGGUUCUGAAUGGAAGGGCCAUCGCUCAACGGAUAAAAGGUACUCCGGGGAUAACAGGCUGAUACCGCCCAAGAGUUCAUAUCGACGGCGGUGUUUGGCACCUCGAUGUCGGCUCAUCACAUCCUGGGGCUGAAGUAGGUCCCAAGGGUAUGGCUGUUCGCCAUUUAAAGUGGUACGCGAGCUGGGUUUAGAACGUCGUGAGACAGUUCGGUCCCUAUCUGCCGUGGGCGCUGGAGAACUGAGGGGGGCUGCUCCUAGUACGAGAGGACCGGAGUGGACGCAUCACUGGUGUUCGGGUUGUCAUGCCAAUGGCACUGCCCGGUAGCUAAAUGCGGAAGAGAUAAGUGCUGAAAGCAUCUAAGCACGAAACUUGCCCCGAGAUGAGUUCUCCCUGAGACUUUAGGUCUCCUGAAGGAACGUUGAAGACGACGACGUUGAUAGGCCGGGUGUGUAAGCGCAGCGAUGCGUUGAGCUAACCGGUACUAAUGAACCGUGAGGCUUAACCUUACA
rnacentral:rRNA from 1 species